rnacentral:rRNA from 1 species
UACGGAGGGUGCAAGCGUUAUCCGGAUUCACUGGGUUUAAAGGGUGCGUAGGUGGGUCUGUAAGUCAGUGGUGAAAUCUUCGAGCUUAACUCGGAAACUGCCAUUGAUACUAUAGAUCUUGAAUUUUCUGGAGGUAAGCGGAAUAUGUCAUGUAGCGGUGAAAUGCUUAGAUAUGACAUAGAACACCAAUUGCGAAGGCAGCUUACUACGGGAACAUUGACACUGAGGCACGAAAAGCGUGGGGGAUCAAACAGGG